rnacentral:rRNA from 1 species
UACGAAGGGGGCUAGCGUUGCUCGGAAUUACUGGGCGUAAAGCGCACGUAGGCGGCUCUUUAAGUCGGGGGUGAAAUCCUGGAGCUCAACUCCAGAACUGCCUUCGAUACUGGCGAUCUUGAGUCCGGAAGAGGUGAGUGGAACUCCUAGUGUAGAGGUGGAAUUCGUAGAUAUUAGGAAGAACACCAGUGGCGAAGGCGGCUCACUGGUCCGGUACUGACGCUGAGGUGCGAAAGCGUGGGGAGCAAACAGG